CGUGAACCGUCUAGAGGUAAGCGGGUGGACCCGUCCAGUCGGCCCUCGGAAUUCAGCUUUUGGGAAAGUCUGCUGGCGCAGUUCUGGGAUCCCUGGGACUCGCUCGGCGCCAGACCGGACUCCCGAGAGUGCACUUUCCGUGUUGGCAGAGCGUCACGACCGGUUUUGCGGCGGUGAGAAGGCCCUCGGGAAGGUAGGUCGACGUCCUUCGGGGCGACGACUGUUAUAGACCUUGGGAGAUGGCCGCUGCGAGACCGUGGAUCGACCCGUCGUAUGGCAGUGGGGCUUCCCGCGUGCGUUCGACUCGGAAGGACAGGCUUGCCGUGCUUCCGGACUGCGCUGCGUGGGAGGACUCUGCUAUAGCCCGCGAUGCGUUAGGGUCAGUGACACACGAUCGGUAAUCCACCCGGCCCGUCUUGAAACACGGACCAAGAAGUCCAACAUGUGCGCGAGUCAUUGGGUCCUACGAAACCUAAAGGCGUAAUGAAGGUGAAGGCAGGUUCGGCCUGCUGAGGUGAGAUCCUCGUCCUCGGGCGGGGCGCAUCACCGGCCCGUCUGCAAAGGCGGAGCAAGAGCGCACACGUUGGGACCCGAAAGAUGGUGAACUAUGCCUGAGCAGGAUGAAGCCAGAGGAAACUCUGGUGGAAGUCCGUAGCGAUUCUGACGUGCAAAUCGAUCGUCGAACUUGGGUAUAGGGGCGAAAGACUAAUCGAACCAUCUAGUAGCUGGUUCCCUCCGAAGUUUCCCUCAGGAUAGCUGGCGCUCGUCUUAACAGUUUUAUCCGGUAAAGCGAAUGAUUAGAGGCCUUGGGGACGAAACGUCCUCAACCUAUUCUCAAACUUUAAAUGGGUAAGGAGUCGGACUCGCUCGAUCUGGAGUCCGGACUGGAAUGUGAGUGCCAAGUGGGCCACUUUUGGUAAGCAGAACUGGCGCUGUGGGAUGAACCAAACGUCCGGUUAAGGUGCCUAACACUGACGCUCAUGAGAUACCAUAAAAGGUGUUGGUUGAUAUAGACAGCAGGACGGUGGCCAUGGAAGUCGGAAUCCGCUAAGGAGU
rnacentral:rRNA from 1 species